AUCCAGAUGAUGAGUCCCAAAUAAGACGAAAUGUGCAUCCUGGAU
rnacentral:hammerhead_ribozyme from 1 species